rnacentral:rRNA from 1 species
ACGUAGGGUGAGAGCGUUAAUCGGAAUUACUGAGCGGAAAACGUGCGCAGGCGGUUUUGGAAAAGAGGCGGGAAAUCCCCGGGCUCAAACUGGGAAAAGCGCAUGUGAAUGCAAGGAUAGAGAACGGCAGAGGGGGGUGGAAUUCCACGUGAAGCAGUGAUAUGCGCAGAGAUGUGGAGGAAGACCAAUGGCGAAUGCAGCCCACUAUGUCGAUACUGACGCUCAUCCAGGAAAUCGUUGGUAGCAAUAAA